UACGGGGGGGGCAAGCGUUGUUCGGAAUUACUGGGCGUAAAGGGCUCGUAGGCGGCCAACUAAGUCAGACGUGAAAUCCCUCGGCUUAACCGGGGAACUGCAUCUGAUACUGGAUGGCUUGAGAUUGGGAGAGGGAUGCGGAAUUCCAGGUGUAGCGGUGAAAUGCGUAGAUAUCUGGAGGAACACCGGUGGCGAAGGCGGCAUCCUGGACCAACACUGACGCUGAGGCGCGAAAGCCAGGGGAGCAAACAGG
rnacentral:rRNA from 1 species